rnacentral:rRNA from 1 species
GUCUACGGCCACACCACUCUGAUCCAGCCGAUCCUGUCUGAUCUUGGAAGCUAAGCAGGGUUGGGCCUGGUUAGCACUUGGAUGGGAGACGAUCUAGGAAGACCAGGGACUGUAGGCA